rnacentral:rRNA from 1 species
GGGCCCGCACAAGCGGUGGAGCAUGUGGCUUAAUUCGAUGCAACGCGAGGAACCUUACCUGGGCUAAAUUCACAGUGAUGUCUUCUGGAAACAGGAGGUCCCUUAGGGGCACUAUGGAAGGUGCUGCAUGGCUGUCGUCAGCUCGUGCCGUGAGGUGUUGGUUAAGUCCCGCAACGAGCGCAACCCCUGUGGUUAGUUACCAGCACGUAAUGGUGGGGACUCUAGCCAGACUGCCUACGCAAGUAGUGAGGAAGGUGGGGACGACGUCAAGUCAUCAUGGCCCUUACGUCCAGGGCUGCACACGUGCUACAAUGGUCGGUACAAUGGGUCGCCACCCAGCGUGGG